rnacentral:rRNA from 1 species
AUUGAACGCUGGCGGCAUGCUUUACACAUGCAAGUCGAACGGCAGCGGGGGCUUCGGUCCGCCGGCGAGUGGCGAACGGGUGAGUAAUGCAUCGGAACGUGCCCAGUCGUGGGGGAUAACACAUCGAAAGAUGUGCUAAUACCGCAUACGUCCUGAGGGAGAAAGCGGGGGAGUCUUCGGACCUCGCGCGAUUGGAGCGGCCGAUGUCGGAUUAGCUAGUUGGUGGGGUAAAGGCCCACCAAGGCGACGAUCCGUAACUGGUCUGAGAGGAUGAUCAGUCACACUGGAACUGAGACACGGUCCAGACUCCUACGGGAGGCAGCAGUGAGGAAUAUUGGACAAUGGGCGAAAGCCUGAUCCAGCCAUGCCGCGUGAGUGAUGAAGGCCCUAGGGUUGUAAAGCUCUUUCAGCUGGGAAGAUAAUGACGGUACCAGCAGAAGAAGCCCCGGCUAACUCCGUGCCAGCAGCCGCGGUAAGUCA